rnacentral:rRNA from 1 species
CCUCGGGAGGCUGCAGUGGGGAAUAUUGGACAAUGGGCGAAAGCCUGAUCCAGCCAUGCCGCGUGUGUGAAGAAGGCCUUCGGGUUGUAAAGCACUUUCAGUGGGGAAGAAAGCCUUGGGGCUAAUACCCUCGAGGAAGGACAUCACCCACAGAAGAAGCACCGGCUAACUCCGUGCCAGCAGCCGCGGUAAUACGGAGGGUGCGAGCGUUAAUCGGAAUUACUGGGCGUAAAGCGCGCGUAGGCGGUCUGAUAAGCCGGUUGUGAAAGCCCCGGGCUCAACCUGGGAACGGCAUCCGGAACUGUCAGGCUAGAGUGCAGGAGAGGAAGGUAGAAUUCCCGGUGUAGCAGUGAAAUGCGUAGAGAUCGGGAGGAAUACCAGUGGCGAAGGCGGCCUUCUGGACUGACACUGACGCUGAGGUGCGAAAGCGUGGGUAGCAAACAGGAUUAGAUACCCGGGUAGUC